ensembl:snRNA U1 U1 spliceosomal RNA
ACACUUAACUCAGCAGGCAAGAUACCAGACUCACUAAGGUGGUUUUCCCAGGGCGAGCCUCAUACGUUGCACUCUGGAUGUGCUGACCCCAAGGAUUUCCCCAAAUGUGGGGAGCUUAACUGAAUAAUUGGUGAUAGUGAGGGACUAUCUGUUCACACUCUCCCCUG